rnacentral:rRNA from 1 species
GACGAACGCUGGCGGCGUGCUUAACACAUGCAAGUCGAACGGUGAAGCGCCUUCCUUUUUGGUGGGUGUGGAUGAGUGGCGAACGGGUGAGUAACACGUGAGUAACCUGCCCCCUUCUUCUGGAUAACCGCAUGAAAGUGUGGCUAAUACGGGAUAUUCUGGGUCUGUCGCAUGAUGGGUCUGGGAAAGAUAUUGUUUCGGUGGGGGAUGGGCUCGCGGCCUAUCAGCUUGUUGGUGGGGUGAUGGCCUACCAAGGCGGUGACGGGUAGCCGGCCUGAGAGGGUGGACGGCCGAGAGGGGACUGGGACACGGCCGAGACUCCUACGGGAGGCAGCAGUGGGGAAUAUUGCACAGUGGGCGCAAGCCUGAUGCAGCGACGCCGCGUGAGGGAUGGAGGCCUUCGGGUUGUGAACCUCUUUCGCCAGUGAAGCAGGCCUGCCUCGUUUGUGGGUGGGUUGACGGUAGCUGGAUAAGAAGCGCCGGCUAACUACGUG